ACAAUCUUUAUUAUUUAAAAACAACAGUGACAACAAAGGUGAAUUAUUCUGGCAGUGUCUGUGUGUUUGUGUAUCUUUAUAUUUUAAAAAAUGCAUUAUUGAAUAGAAACAAGUGGCACUAAGUGUUUUUCUUGGAGCUGUUGCAUAUUCCACAGUCCUGCCACGAAAAUGUCUUUCCUCCACUUCUAGCUUCCUAUUGUUGCUUUUCAACAAAAACAAAGUGAAAAGAGAUGGAGGUGAAAAAGAAAAAAGAGGAAAUGCUUGUUGGAGCUGUUGCUGAAGAUGCCAUGAGACUUCCCAGUGAUCUUCAGAUCAGGUUAACAGCCAAUAGGAUGGACACCCCAGUCUCAUCUUAGGGAAGCCCUGUUUUUCGUACCACAAGAGGCUGAGAAGAAAGCAGAAGGGACAGGUGGGGCCAAGUGUUCUGGGAUGCAACCUUCUGGAGGUGGAGGCAGUGGCAAUUCUGCAACCCCACGAUGACAAGUGCAACAAUUUAUUCUCAAAUGAGGUGGACCAGGUGGUAGUCAUGGCAAUGGAUGGAUUGACACCCUGAAGAUUUACUGUCAUUGGUAUUCCACAUCAUAACAUCAUGUAGUGGACAUACCUAGUUCUCAGAAGAGAAGGACUACUACAGUCCCCACGGUACUUUGCUCCUUUGUUACCAUUU
rnacentral:lncRNA from 1 species